UACGUAGGGUGCAAGCGUUGUCCGGAAUUGUUGGGCGUAAAGGGCUCGUAGGCGGUUUGUCGCGUCGGGAGUGAAAACACGGGGCUUAACCCCGUGCCUGCUUCCGAUACGGGCAGACUAGAGGUAUGGCAGGGGAGAACGGAAUUCCUGGUGUAGCGGUAGAAAUUCGCAGAUAUCAGGAGGAACACCCAAUUGGCGAAGGCAGCUGCCGCUGGGACGUUACUGACGCUGGAGA
rnacentral:rRNA from 1 species